rnacentral:rRNA from 1 species
CACGUGUAGCAGUGAAAUGCGUAGAGAUGUGGAGGAAUACCGAUGGCGAAGGCAGCCCCCUGGGAUAACACUGACGCUCAUGUACGAAAGCGUGGGUAGCAAACAGGAUUAGAUACCCUGGUAGUCCACGCCCUAAACGAUGUCAACUGGUUGUUGGGGGAGUGAAAUCCCUUAGUAACGAAGCUAACGCGUGAAGUUGACCGCCUGGGGAGUACGGUCGCAAGAUUAAAACUCAAAGGAAUUGACGGGGACCCGCACAAGCGGUGGAUGAUGUGGAUUAAUUCGAUGCAACGCGAAAAACCUUACCUACCCUUGACAUGUCCACGAACCCUGCAGAGAUGCGGGGGUGCCCGAAAGGGAAUCUGGAACACAGGUGCUGCAUGGCUGUCGUCAGCUCGUGUCGUGAGAUGUUGGGUUAAGUCCCGCAACGAUCGCAACCCGUAUCAUUAGUUGCUACGCAAGGGCACUCUAAUGAGACUGCCGGUGACAAACCGGAGGAAGGUGGGGAUGACGUCAAGUCCUCAUGGCCCUUAUGGGUAGGGCUUCACACGUCAUACAAUGGUCGGUACAGAGGGUUGCCAAGCCGCGAGGCGGAGCCAAUCCCAGAAAGCCGAUCGUAGUCCGGAUUGUUCUCUGCAACUCGAGUAGCAUGAAGUCGGAAUCGCUAGUAAUCGCGGAUCAGCAUGUCGCGGUGAAUACGUUCCCGGGUCUUGUACACACCGCCCGUCACACCAUGGGAGUGGAAUGCUGCCAGAAGUAGGUAGCCUAACCGCAAGGAGGGCGCUUACCACGGUGGGCUUCAUGACUGGGGUG